AGAGUUUGAUCAUGGCUCAGAAUCAACGCUGGCGGCGCGCUUAACACAUGCAAGUCGCACGAGAAAGUGGAGCAAUCCAUGAGUAAAGUGGCGUACGGGUGAGUAACACGUGGGUAAUCUACCUCUUAGUGGGGAAUAACCUGGGGAAACCCGGGCUAAUACCGCAUAAUCUCGGGAGAGGAAAGCAGCAAUGCGCUGAGAGAGGAGCCCGCGGCCGAUUAGCUAGUUGGGAGGGUAAAAGCCUACCAAGGCAAAGAUCGGUAGCCGGCCUGAGAGGGCACACGGCCACACUGGCACUGAAACACGGGCCAGACUCCUACGGGAGGCAGCAGUGGGGAAUCUUGCACAAUGGGGGAAACCCUGAUGCAGCGACGCCGCGUGAGCGAUGAAGCCCUUCGGGGUGUAAAGCUCUUUCGGCAGGGAAGAUGAUGACGGUACCUGCAGAAGCAGCUGCGGCUAACUACGUGCCAGCAGCCGCGGUAAUACGUAGGCAGCGAGCGUUGUUCGGAGUUACUGGGCGUAAAGGGUGUGUAGGCGGUUCUUUAAGUUUGGUGUGAAAUCUCCCGGCUCAACCGGGAGGGUGCGCCGAAUACUGAGGGACUCGAGUGCGGGAGAGGAAAGUGGAAUUCCUGGUGUAGCGGUGAAAUGCGUAGAUAUCAGGAGGAACACCGGUGGUGUAGACGGCUUUCUGGACCGUAACUGACGCUGAGACACGAAAGCGUGGGUAGCAAACAGGAUUAGAUACCCUAGUAGUCC
rnacentral:rRNA from 1 species